GGGGAUGUAAAGGUUUCGACAGGGGUGCGUGUGGUAUAGAUAGCGAGUCGGCGUUCCAUGAGGCCGUUAAACGGUGGGAAAACAUUUAAACGCAGAAGAAAAUUUUGCAUUAGCUGCAUAAGCUACGUCCCUCAUACUUGUGCCUACCAAGUGUGAAUGG
rnacentral:tmRNA from 1 species